UNGCCAGAACUUCCCUACUGAACGACCCC
rnacentral:piRNA from 1 species